rnacentral:rRNA from 1 species
CUGUUAUCCCCGCGGUAACUUAUUCGUGAUCCUAUUUUAGGGAUAGCUUGUAAUAGAAAGUUAAAAGAUAUUGUUUUCUUACCGCCCCAGUAGAAAAAGAUAAUUUAAAGUUCGACGGGGUCUUGUCGUCCCUUCUUUUUAUUUAAGUCUUUUUACUUAAAAGAAAAUUUAAAGAAAUCAUAAUAAUAAAGAAUCUCACACGUGAAUCCUUUCAUUCUAGCCUCUAAUUAGAAGGCAAGUGAUUGUGCUACCUUAGCACAGAAUUCUGCGGCUAUUGAAAGUUCAUUGAGCAGGACUUACUAAUUA